rnacentral:lncRNA from 1 species
GGAUGAUUAGCAUUAUAAUAUGACAAAACAGUUAAGGAUGUAAUUAAAUUUAAGCUUUUUACAGUCAUCCAGAAUAGACUAGAAAUUUAAACUUUACAAGUUUUAGAAUAUUUCAAAAUACUUAACCAACUAAAGGUUCAAGGAGGCCUAAAGAGUGUAUUAAAAUACAGAUCAUAAUGAAAUAAAGGCUAUAAGUCUUUCAAAAUAAAGGCCAUCUAAAAUAAGUACUAGCACGAGUCCUAAGAACUAGAAGCUGGUUCUUCUGUAGUCUUCAAGGCUUACUCCAGGGGCACCUCAUCAGCUACUGCUCACAUCCAAAGAAUUGGAUGAUCAUCGCAAGGGGGAAAGGCAAACACAUACAACACACAAUGCAAGGGUAAGCUAGGUUGAAAAGCAUGCAAGAUAAGUCCAAAUUUACACUAACAUAUACAUAACAGUAUGCACACAAGCAAACAAGUAGGCAUUCUGUCAGAUUAUACAUUAAAUGGAACUAACUAUCAUAUUAUAUAAUCACAAACAACAUGCAAAGACCAUAACACCAUACUGACUAAGACUGAAUGCAUUUUGUUGAUACCAAUGACCAACCGCGUGAUUUGACCAUCCGGACUAGUAUGAAAUGUCGAGUUCUAGGGGUUUGUGCACUUGUAGUGGGCCUACUGCUUUGCAAAGCCAUUGCCAAGGGGUUUCACCCGACCACACAGAAGUGUAAGCCCUUUACCGAAUAAUAGGCAUCCACGUAGCACCUACUACUAGGACCUCCUGCUAUUCUUACCACAUGACUCAUCACUCUCUAAUUGAUCAUGGAUGGUCAUUAGAAUGCCAGGAUAAAACCCAUCCUGAACUCCGGUCAUUCAUACGGUCAAUCACAACAACUACAGGGCAUCACCAUGUAACCUCCCUUGAGGAUCAUGGAAUUACGUCCAUCGACCAUACUUUCACUUUAGAACUUAACUUAAGACGUGAACAAGUGAAUACCAUAAUGUUAUCACAUUGAAAUCCAUAUAAAAACCAUUCAAUAUACAUUAGGAUAUCAUAACAGUCCAAGAAGAAUCACUAAACAACCAAAAACCCCGUAACUCAUACUUAAACAAAGAAAAUGGCUUUGAAACCAUCACCAACAGUUUCGGAAGGGUCCAAAACCCCCAGAACGACUUAAAGAACAUCCAAAACGGACGUCCGGAACUCUCAGAAUGUCAAAAACAUCAAAAAUACUCAAUUUGUCACACAUAAUUUGCUCAGUGCACACCCUGGGGUGCGCUGAGCGAAUUUUUCCUGCCAGCAAGCCUUCGCAGAGCACACAGAGUACGCUAGGCGAUUCUGCAUGAUCUGCAACACCCUAAAACUGCAUAAUUAAGCAACUCUACCCUUCCAUACCAAUUCUAAUCAUUUUGAUGAACUUCUAGCAUUCUUAACUUGAUCUAUAUGAUAAAUCUAACUUGUCUAAUCAAUUCUAACACUCUCUAAUCUCUUUAUCUAGUAAUUAAUCAUGGUUUUCUAUUCUAAAUCUACAUUUUUAUCAGCUAAGAUGUCAAAAUUCUAAUUUUACUACCUAGAAAAUGUUUUAAGCCAUUUAGACACUAUCAACAAAUUAGGAAUAACUUGGUUAUAAUCUUCCAAUGGUCUAAGACAAACCACAACCACAGGAUCUAAAAACCACUAUGCCACUUCCCUCAAUUUUGCCUUAAGACUUCUAAUUUAUUCAACUUCCUGUCUAACAGGCCACAUCAUAACAGUUUCUAACAUCUCAGUAAUUCCAUCACACCACAGAAACUCACUUAUAACAGUUUUCUAAACCACCAUUUAAAAUAUCAUACUAAAAUCCACUCAACAGUAACAUGAUCUACAACAAAAUUCACACAUGCACUUCAUUUUACACCUUUCAAACAAAAUUUACAAAUCAUGCAACCAAAAAUCUAUCAAAAAACAGAGAAGAUGCCUAGCUUCCCUUACCUUCAAUUGGUAGCAUAGUACAAAGAAUUUUGUCCCCUUUUUCUUAAUCCUCAAAUAAAAGCAGAGUCACCUAUGGAUAAACAAUGGUAGAUAGAAAAGGGUUCUUAGGUUCUAAUAGAAACUAGAAAUUUUUGAAAAAAGAACAAGAUGAAUCACAUGCAGCAAAACUCUGUUGCAUGAUCCACAACCCCAAAUUGUAUGGAAAAAUGAGCAACAACUUACCCGCAGAGGAACCUAGAAAUUGACCGGUUGCAAAUGUUGCUCUUGAAGUCCUGAUCAACUAUGCAGCGUCUGAUCAAUAACUUAUGGUUAAAAUUUUGGAUCGAGAUGGAGAGGGAUGAUAAAACAGAGAAGAAGAACAUGGAGGAAGGGUGCUUCUCUUCAG